rnacentral:rRNA from 1 species
CACGUAGGGCGCGAGCGUUGUCCGGAAUUAUUGGGCGUAAAGAGCUCGUAGGCGGCCUGUUGCGUCCGCUGUGAAAGCCCGGGGCUUAACCCCGGGUCGGCAGUGGAUACGGGCAGGCUAGAGGUAGGUAGGGGAGAAUGGAAUUCCCGGUGUAGCGGUGAAAUGCGCAGAUAUCGGGAGGAACACCGGUGGCGAAGGCGGUUCUCUGGGCCUUACCUGACGCUGAGGCACGAAAGUGUGGGGAUCAAACAGG